UAACGGAGAUUCAACCGAAUGAAGGUGCAGCAGAGGCAAAUGGUUACAAGCAGACAGCUGGUUCCAGCAGCGUCUGGGGCCCUCCAGCUACUUCUCAGCUGUGGGCUUAUAUGGAGUAGCUGUGACUAAAAGCCUUUGCGAUACUGCAGGUUUGUUUGCCUUGAACAGACGUUCUUUUCUUUCCACACAUUUCUUCAGUUCCAGAGAGAAGAAAUGCUGCCACAGGAAUGAGGUCAGUGGAUGCGUCCUCACAGACUAACGUUAUGCAAAGGAAAACACUACUUAAAAUUUUAAACCAUCUUCACUCAAUAAUAAACACUGGUUUCAUAGCUCAACCACAGCCCCUGGCAUUUACAACGUACCGAUUGUCAUGCAUUUCCUGUGCAUAGCUUAUAAGUUCAAGCCUUUUCAUGUUUUAGUGAGGCUUAAUUGCUUUUCUAAUGAACAAUAUUUUUUAACUGAUUGGAGCAUUUGCUAAUCCAACUUCACAACAUCACCCAACAUCACUCACAAACGGUGUUUGCAGAUCUAACUCAAGCCAGAGCCAAGCUAGUGUUGUAUAUACCUCAUAAUUCUAUUAAGUAUCCCAAACUUCUAUUCGGGGAAGAUCAACAGUCUUUUUCCCUUUAUCUCCAUUGCGAGCGUGAGUAUUUUAACUUUCUGAAUUUCCAGAGCCAAUCUUUCACAAAGAAAUAGGAAGUGUUUAUCACUCAACUAGAUGUAGACACUGGGUGAUUCGCUGGGCUUCUUCCUAACUAGGUGAUUUAUUUCCAUCUACCAGCCUCACAGCAUUUACUUAAGGAAAAUUCAAGGUACUAUAUAUAACAGGGAUUUUAACUAACUUGUGACCAAAUAAAGCACAUAUUUUAAAUCCACGUAUGCUCCUACUACAGUUAAUUUAGAAAUAUCUCCAGGUCCUUGUAUAUGAAUUUCAAUAUACAUGAAAGCAGUAACUCAACCCUCUGCUUUUCCUACUAAUUCUCGAUCUAUCAUAUAUAUGUCUCACACACACACACACACACACACACACACACACACACCCCUCACAUGCAAGAGAGUGAGCUCCUUGAGGACAGAAACCAGGUUUUAUUUAUCUUUCUAAUCUAGUGCUCUUCAUAGUGCCAGGGACUGUAAAUAAAUGCUGCUGAAUAAAUAAAAGUUGAAUUUUCUCAAG